GAAGAAAAGGAAAAGGAUCAGAUUGCAAAGAGAAAUCCAAGUGCUGAAGAAGCAGCAUGAGCAGAAAGAGCGAGUGAUCAGUGCGAAAAGUGCCGAGAUAGUGAAUCUACAGAAGGAGACCAGAGACCUGAAGGAAGACCUGAGGAAGAAGGAAGAGGAGAUUGUAUUACUCAAGGAGGAGCAAGGACAUGAGAGG
rnacentral:lncRNA from 1 species